rnacentral:rRNA from 1 species
GACCAAGGAGUCUAACCCGUACGCGAGUCGUAGGGUCUUGCGUAGGCCCCGUGGCGUAGCGAAAGCAAAGUCGAGACAUUGGAUAACUUUUUAACUAAAGUUGUACUUUAGCAUCGGCGGCCCGGCGGUGUAGUCGAAUGGCACGGCCCGUCGAAUCUUUCGGGGUUUGGCGGUUUAAAGUCGUGCUCGGCUCGUCGGAGUCUGAGCGUACGAGUUGGUACCCGAAAGAUGGUGAACUAUGCCCCGCCAGGGCGAAGUCGGAGGAAACUCCGGUGGAGGCCCGAAGCGGUUCUGACGUGCAAAUCGAUCGUCGGAGCGAGGUAUAGGGGCGAAAGACUAAUCGAACCAUCUAGUAGCUGGUUCCCUCCGAAGUUUCCCUCAGGAUAGCUGGCAUUCAUGAAAAACUCAGUCUCUUCUCGUAGAGAGAAUGAAUAGAGGCCCUGGGGCCCUAGACGACCUCAACCUAUUAUCAAACUGCUACGAGGUGCGUCGGCGAUGACUUGCAUGAUUUGAAGUCGUAAUAACGCUGUGGGAUGUACGAAUGCCGUGUGGGCC